AACGGCCGUACCAUGCUGAAUAUACCGGUUCUCGUUAGAUCACCGAAGUUAAGCAUCAUUGGGCGCGGUCAGUACUUGGGUGGGUGACCACCUGGGAAACGUGCUGUUG
rnacentral:rRNA from 1 species